rfam:[Oscillatoria] sp. PCC 6506, WGS project CACA01000000 data, contig: Contig11
CGACUUCGAUUUGUUGAGGACAAAUAAAGUGGAUGUGGCUGUCAAUUCCUCCCGCAGUCAGGAUCGUUCCUUCGCCGGCAAUGACUUCUGUGCCGGGGCCGAUAAUGAUAUCUACGUUGUCUUGAAUGUAGGGGUUUCCGGCUUUACCAAUUUUCUCAAUUUUGCCAUUUUUAAUGCCAAUAUCUGCUUUAACAAUUCCCCACCAAUCUAAGAUUAAAGCAUUAGUAAUUACGGUGUCAACGGCUCCGUCAGCGUUAGAAAUGGGGGAUUGUCCCAUGCCAUCUCUG